UCGGGAUGCCGGUCGAAACUGCUGUGGCUAGGGUCCGGUAGAGGAGAGUGGAAUUCCCGGUGUAGCGGUGAAAUGCGCAGAUAUCGGGAGGAACACCAUUAGCGAAGGCGGCUCUCUGGGCCGGCACCGACGCUGAGGAGCGAAAGCUAGGGGAGCAAACAGGAUUAGAUACCCUGGUAGUCCUAGCCGUAAACGUUGGGCACUAGGCGUGGCGGACUCAUCGACGUCUGCCGCGCCGUAGCUAACGCAUUAAGUGCCCCGCCUGGGGAGUACGGUCGCAAGGCUAAAACUCAAAGGAAUUGACGGGGGCCCGCACAAGCGGCGGAGCAUGCGGCUUAAUUCGAUGCAACCCGAAGAACCUUACCUGGGCUUGACAUCAUGGGAAAAGCCGUGGAGACACGGUGUGCGGAAGCGUCCAUGACAGGUGGUGCAUGGCUGUCGUCAGCUCGCGUCGUGAGAUGUUGGGUUAAGUCCCGCAACGAGCGCAACCCCUGUCCUAUGUUGCCAGCGGAUAAUGCCGGGGACUCAUAGGAGACUGCCGGGGACAACUCGGAGGAAGGCGGGGACGACGUCAAGUCAUCAUGCCCCUUAUGUCCAGGGCUGCACGCAUGCUACAAUGGCGGGUACAACGGGCCGCGAUCCCGCGAGGGGGAGCCAAUCCCUCAAAGCCCGCCUCAGUUCGGAUUGGAGUCUGCAACUCGACUCCAUGAAGCCGGAGUCGCUAGUAAUCGUGGAUCAGCAAUGCCGCGGUGAAUACGUUCUCGGGCCUUGUACACACCGCCCGUCACAUCACGAAAGUCGGCAACGCCCGAAGUCAGUGGCCCAACCCUAUGGGAGGGAGCUGCCGAAGGUGGGGUCGGCGAUUGGGAUGAAGUCGUAACAAGG
rnacentral:rRNA from 1 species